GCCUGACAACAUUCAGAGGCUGCUCGAAAGGAAAAAGCUCUAAUUCCGUGAAUUGGAGCACGCGAUCGGCCUAUAGAUCCGAGUACUAGCUACCGGCGUUGAUUCGAGCCAGCUGCAGUCGUGAUCGAAGGCGAGGGUGAACACAUAGCAUCCUGGAUUUAUCCGUCUCCCUCUGUAUAUAAAUUUUGCCUGUGUUUUGCUUUUUGAGACAACUCUAUUUCUGUGGUCCACUUUUGGAACUUGUACUUUUUGUACUAGUAGCUCUAUACAUGUGAUUUUCAGGUUCUAGGAGAGAUCUUUUUAUUUGUAUAUAUUUAAUUGCUUCCGCCCGUA